rnacentral:rRNA from 1 species
GACGUAGGUGGCGAACGUUAUCCGGAAUUAUUGGGCGUAAAGGGUGCGUAGGUGGUCUGACAAGUUAUCAGUGGCAAAUCGAGGCUCAACCUCGUGGAAACUGGUAAUACUGUCCGGCUCGAGUACAGGAGAGGUUAACGGAACUCUAUGUGGAGCGGUAAAAUGCACAGAUAUAUAGAUGAACACCAAUAACGGCGAAGGCAGUUAACUAUUCUGUUACUGACACUGGAGG